UCGCCAACAGUGUCAAAAACACCGCCUGGUGUGCGCGACAGUAUCCUCCUUGGACAAGUGUGUUAAUUGUGUGGGACCCGUAUCUUCCUUCAAGUGGCUUGGCUAUCGAUGCACAGAUGAGAUUGUGUUAAGUGACGCUGAAGACAGUGGGAGCGAAUCUGAUAACAGCAACACAGAAGUCACAGCAUCAGAGUUUGGAACUGUGGAGCCUGUGGAUAUUGACUCUACAACCACAGAGCGAGGCCAUGACAUUGGAGGCUUUGGAUCAGUGUCAUUUGUGUCGUCCACAGUAAAUGAGAGUGUACUUCCCUCUGAAGGGAAUUAUGCAGAUAAAGAACAUGGAUCCAGAAGAGUGGUAAAAAAAGUGUGGUCUAAGG